rnacentral:rRNA from 1 species
UACGUAGGCAGCAAGCGUUGUUCGGAGUUACUGGGCGUAAAGGGUGUGUAGGCGGUCUUCUAAGUCUAGUGUGAAAUCUCCCGGCUCAACUGGGAGGGUGCGCCGAAAACUGGAAGGCUAGAGUGCGGGAUGGGAGAGUGGAAUUCCUGGUGUAGCGGUGAAAUGCGUAGAUAUCAGGAGGAACACCUGUGGUGUAGACGGCUCUCUGGACCGCAACUGACGCUGAGACACGAAAGCGUGGGUAGCAAACAGG